GAUGAACGCUGGCGGCGUGCCUAAUACAUGCAAGUCGAGCGAACGGACGAGAAGCUUGCUUCUCUGAUGUUAGCGGCGGACGGGUGAGUAACACGUGGAUAACCUACCUAUAAGACUGGGAUAACUUCGGGAAACCGGAGCUAAUACCGGAUAAUACUUUGAACCGCAUGGUUCAAAAGUGAAAGACGGUCUUGCUGUCACUAAUAGAUGGAUCCGCGCUGCAUUAGCUAGUUGGUAAGGUAACGGCUUACCAAGGCAACGAUGCAUAGCCGACCUGAGAGGGUGAUCGGCCACACUGGAACUGAGACACGGUCCAGACUCCUACGGGAGGCAGCAGUAGGGAAUCUUGCGCAAUGGGCGAAAGCCUGACGGAGCAACGCCGCGUGAGUGAUGAAGGUCUUCGGAUCGUAAAACUCUGUUAUUAGGGAAGAACAUAUGUGUAAGUAACUGUGCACAUCUUGACGGUACCUAAUCAGAAAGCCACGGCUAACUACGUG
rnacentral:rRNA from 1 species